AAUAGCUCACUGGUCGAGUCGGCCUGCGCGGAAGAUGUAACGGGGCUAAACCAUGCACCGAAGCUGCGGCAGCGACACUAUGUGUUGUUGGGUAGGGGAGCGUUCUGUAAGCCUGCGAAGGUGUGCUGUGAGGCAUGCUGGAGGUAUCAGAAGUGCGAAUGCUGACAUAAGUAACGAUAAAGCGGGUGAAAAGCCCGCUCGCCGGAAGACCAAGGGUACCUGUCCAACGUUAAUCGGGGCAGGGUGAGUCGACCCCUAAGGCGAGGCCGAAAGGCGUAGUCGAUGGGAAACAGGUUAAUAUUCCUGUACUUGGUGUUACUGCGAAGGGGGGACGGAGAAGGCUAUGUUGGCCGGGCGACGGUUGUCCC
rnacentral:rRNA from 1 species